rnacentral:misc_RNA from 1 species
GAUGAAGAACGUAGCGAAAUGCGAUAAGUAAUGUGAAUUGCAGAAUUCAGUGAAUCAUCGAAUCUUUGAACGCACCUUGCGCCCUUUGGCCAUUCCGAAGGGCAUGCCUGUUUGAGUAUCAUGAACACCUCAACUCUUCAUGGAUUUCCAUGAUGAGCUUGGACUUUGGGGGUCUUGCCGGCCUGUGGUCGGCUCCUCUCAAAUGAAUCGGCUUACCGGUUUUUGGUGGGCAUCACAGGUGUGAUAACUAUCUACGCUUGUGGUUUUCCACCAGGGUAACCUUCAGCAGUGGAGGUUCACUGGAGCUUACAAAUGUCUCUCCUCCGUGAGGACAGCCCUUUGAAUGUUUGAUCUCAAAUCAGGUAGGACUACCCGCUGAACUUAAGCAUAUCAAUAAGCGGAGGA